AGUGAACGCUGGCGGUAGGCCUAACACAUGCAAGUCGAACGGCAGCACAGUAAGAGCUUGCUCUUACGGGUGGCGAGUGGCGGACGGGUGAGGAAGACAUCGGAAUCUACUUUUUCGUGGGGGAUAACGUCGGGAAACUUACGCUAAUACCGCAUACGACCUACGGGUGAAAGCAGGGGAUCUUCGGACCUUGCGCGAUUGAAUGAGCCGAUGUCGGAUUAGCUAGUUGGCGGGGUAAAGGCCCACCCAGGCGACGAUCCGUAGCUGGUCUGAGGGCAUGAUCCGCCACCCUGGCACUGAGACUCGGCCCAGACUCCUACGGGAGGCAGCAGUGCAGAAUAUUGCGCAAUGCGCCCAAGCCUGAUCCAGCCCUACCGCGUAAGUGAAGAAGCAGUCCGGGUUGUAGAGCCAUUUUGUUGGGAAAAAAAAGAAGCACGUUAAUACCCCGCUGUUCUGACGGUACCCAAAGAAUAAGCACCGGCUAACUUCGUG
rnacentral:rRNA from 1 species